CCCAAUUCCAGCUCCGAUCUCCUUCUGCGAUCUCCGAUCUCCGAUCAUGGCGGCUUCUCCUUCCGCUGUAGACCUUAAUCCGGAUAAUCCCGACUCCGGAAUCCCUCAACCCACUCCCCAAGAAAACCCUAACCCCGCCCCUGCGGACGCCGCCCCCCUUACGGCCGUCGUCGUCCCUACAGCCGUCGCCGCCCCCCUUACGGCCGUCGUCGUCCCUACAGCCGU
rnacentral:misc_RNA from 1 species